UGUAUAAUGGGUCAGCGACUUAUAUUCUGUAGCAAGGUUAACCGAAUAGGGGAGCCGAAGGGAAACCGAGUCUUAACUGGGCGUUAAGUUGCAGGGUAUAGACCCGAAACCCGGUGAUCUAGCCAUGGGCAGGUUGAAGGUUGGGUAACACUAACUGGAGGACCGAACCGACUAAUGUUGAAAAAUUAGCGGAUGACUUGUGGCUGGGGGUGAAAGGCCAAUCAAACCGGGAGAUAGCUGGUUCUCCCCGAAAGCUAUUUAGGUAGCGCCUCGUGAAUUCAUCUCCGGGGGUAGAGCACUGUUUCGGCAAGGGGGUCAUCCCGACUUACCAACCCGAUGCAAACUGCGAAUACCGGAGAAUGUUAUCACGGGAGACACACGGCGGGUGCUAACGUCCGUCGUGAAGAGGGAAACAACCCAGACCGCCAGCUAAGGUCCCAAAGUCAUGGUUAAGUGGGAAACGAUGUGGGAAGGCCCAGACAGCCAGGAUGUUGGCUUAGAAGCAGCCAUCAUUUAAAGAAAGCGUAAUAGCUCACUGGUCGAGUCGGCCUGCGCGGAAGAUGUAACGGGGCUAAACCAUGCACCGAAGCUGCGGCAGCGACGCUUAUGCGUUGUUGGGUAGGGGAGCGUUCUGUAAGCCUGCGAAGGUGUGCUGUGAGGCAUGCUGGAGGUAUCAGAAGUGCGAAUGCUGACAUAAGUAACGAUAAAGCGGGUGAAAAGCCCGCUCGCCGGAAGACCAAGGGUUCCUGUCCAACGUUAAUCGGGGCAGGGUGAGUCGACCCCUAAGGCGAGGCCGAAAGGCGUAGUCGAUGGGAAACAGGUUAAUAUUCCUGUACUUGGUGUUACUGCGAAGGGGGGACGGAGAAGGCUAUGUUGGCCGGGCGACGGUUGUCCCGGUUUAAGCGUGUAGGCUGGU
rnacentral:rRNA from 1 species